rnacentral:rRNA from 1 species
UAGGGAAUCUUCGGCAAUGGGGGGAACCCUGACCGAGCAACGCCGCGUGAGUGAAGAAGGUUUUCGGAUCGUAAAGCUCUGUUGUUAAGGAAGAACGAGUGUGAGAAUGGAAAGUUCAUGCUGUGACGGUACUUAACCAGAAAGGGACGGCUAACUACGUGCCAGCAGCCGCGGUAAUACGUAGGUCCCGAGCGUUGUCCGGAUUUAUUGGGCGUAAAGCGAGCGCAGGCGGUUAGAAAAGUCUGAAGUGAAAGGCAGUGGCUCAACCAUUGUAGGCUUUGGAAACUGUUUAACUUGAGUGCAGAAGGGGAGAGUGGAAUUCCAUGUGUAGCGGUGAAAUGCGUAGAUAUAUGGAGGAACACCGGUGGCGAAAGCGACUCUCUGGUCUGUAACUGACGCUGAGGCUCGAAAGCGUGGGUAGCAAACAGG